UAAUUGCUCAUAGAUGGGAGU
rnacentral:miRNA from 1 species